rnacentral:rRNA from 1 species
UGGGGAAUAUUGCACAAUGGGCGAAAGCCUGAUGCAGCAACGCCGCGUGAGGGACGACGGCCUUCGGGUUGUAAACCUCUUUUAGCAAGGAAGAAGCGAAAGUGACGGUACUUGCAGAAAAAGCGCCGGCUAACUACGUGCCAGCAGCCGCGGUAAUACGUAGGGCGCAAGCGUUAUCCGGAAUUAUUGGGCGUAAAGAGCUCGUAGGCGGUUUGUCGCGUCUGCUGUAGAAAACCCGAGGCUCAACCUCGGGCCUGCAGUGGGUACGGGCAGACUAGAGUGCGGUAGGGGAGAUUGGAACUCCUGGUGUAGCGGUGGAAUGCGCAGAUAUCAGGAAGAACACCGAUGGCGAAGGCAGAUCUCUGGGCCGUAACUGACGCUGAGGAGCGAAAGGGUGGGGAGCAAACAGGCUUAGAUACCCUGGUAGUCCACCCCGUAAACGUUGGGAACUAGUUGUGGGGUCCAUUCCACGGAUUCCGUGACGCAGCUAACGCAUUAAGUUCCCCGCCUGGGGAGUACGGCCG